rnacentral:lncRNA from 1 species
GGUGGCUGUCAAUAGAUUGGCCCAAAAGGAAGAACAAGGAAAAGGGCACCAAAGAAGAUAAAUGAAAAUACAAGGGUAUAAGCUGAACUGUGGACAUCCUGCCACUGGGAAUUAAGUUAAAGUAGAAAAAAGCAGAAUGUAAUGGGGAGUCCCCUCACAAGAAGAAUUUGGAUCAAAGCAUGGCAGUGAGGGGAA